UUUAACUUUACAUUCUGUGUUAAAAUAUUAGAUUUACUUAAAAACGGAAAAAAAAUUUUCAAUUACACUUUGUUUAUUGGCUGUUUUAAUUCCAGAAAAAUAUUUAACUGUGAAUUAUUAUAUUGUGUUAUCUUCUAUGUGUACAAUGUUUGGCUUACUUUCAUGUGUGUGUGUGUGUGUGUGUUGGUGUUUAAAAUUGUGUUAUUAGAAUUUUCAUUAUCUUUUGUUUUUAUUCACAAAUUGUUUUCGUUAAUAAUUAAAUUAUAAAUUUCAUUAUUAUUGUCAAUAUUAUCGGACUCUUUUUUUGUUUGUGUUUAGAAUUAUAUAUUUUUUAAUUGACUAUUGAUUCAAAAUCUGUAAAAUUUAUUGUUUUUAAAAGAAUAUCUCUUGAUGGUUUGUGCGAUUGUGUACCUGGAAUCCAGUGUGUGUUUUUAUCUACAUUGUAUGACUAUAAAUGGACGAUUGCCUAAACCAUAAAUGAUUCAAGUUUUAUGUGUACCAUUAAAAAUGUAUAUAUCAUGAUUAUAAUGGUUUGCAAUAGCUGCUAAUUCAUCAUCACUAAACCAAUAAUUAGGCCUGAUGCUAUUUUAGGCAUUGAUAUUUGUAGUUUUAAGUGUGUACACGGAAAUUUAUACAUACAUAUUGCUAAUGAUGACAUCAAGUGCUUGAUUCAUCGUAUAAGAAUAUUUGUCUUAUCAGGAUAAUAAGAGUUAAGAAAUCACUAGAAAAACAUGGGAAAACACCUUUGCCACGAACUGAUAAUGCUCCGACAUUUACAUACUUUGACAUUUGAUAAAGUAGUAAUUGUUACGAACAUCUGGUACUCCAACCAUCUGAUACCAUAGGUUACUAAAAUUACGACGGAUUUUACUCCGACAUUAAAUUAAAAAAAUGAGACUGCAAAAACUUCGACAUUAUCGAUAGUUUGAUUAUGCAUCGAAAGUUAUAUUAUAUUUUGAUUGUAUUAUUAGUAAUAGGGCACAUCGAUCGUAUAUGUUGCAACGUCAGGAUCACGUGGCUACAGAAACGCUACAUUAUUAAAUUAAUUAUAUUAUUAUUAAUAAUAUUGUAAAAUUAAAAUUAAAAUGUUCUAUUAAAUUAGCAUUUAUUUGCUACUAUAGUUAUUAUACAAUUAUAUACAUAUUGCUUAUUAUUUUCUGAUACAAUUUCUCACAUUUGACAAA